AAACUAACAAGGAUUCCCCUAGUAACGGCGAGUGAAGUGGGAAAAGCUCAACUUUGAAAUCUGGCAGCUUCGCUGUCCGAGUUGUAGUCUCGAGAAGUGUUUUCCGCGCUGGAUCGUGUAUGAGUCUGUUGGAAUACAGCGUCAUAGAGGGUGAGAACCCCGUUCGUGACACGACUACCAGUGCUUUGUGAUACAUUUUCGAUGAGUCGAGUUGUUUGGGAAUGCAGCUCAAAUUGGGUGGUAAAUUCCAUCUAAAGCUAAAUAUUGGCGAGAGACCGAUAGCAAACAAGUACCGUGAGGGAAAGAUGAAAAGCACUUUGGAAAGAGAGUUAACAGUACGUGAAAUUGUUGAAAGGGAAACGCUUGAAGUCAGACGUGCGCAGUGCGAUUCAGCUCUGGUUCGCCAGGGUGUAUUUCGUACUAUUGCAGGCCAGCAUCGGUUUUGCGAGCCGGAUAAAGGUAAAGGGAAGGUAGCGGUCCAGGCCGUGUUAUAGCCUUUUACUGAAUACGGAUUGCGAGACCGAGGGACGCAGCGCGCCGCAAGGCAAAGGCUUCGGCCUUUUCGCGCUUAGGAUGCUGGUGAAAUGGCUUUAAGCGAC
rnacentral:rRNA from 1 species